GGUUAAGCUACUAAGAGCACACGGUGGAUGCCUAGGCGCUAGGAGCCGAUGAAGGACGUGGCGAACAACGAUAAAGCCUCGGGGAGCUGUAAGCAAGCUGUGAUCCGGGGAUGUCCGAAUGGGGAAACCUAACUGGAUUCAUCUCCAGUUACUCACACCUGAAUACAUAGGGUGUGCAGAGGCAGACGAGGGGAACUGAAACAUCUAAGUACCCUCAGGAAAAGAAAACAAGAGUGAUUCCGUCAGUAGCGGCGAGCGAACGCGGAACAGCCCAAACCAAGAAGCUUGCUUCUUGGGGUUGUGGGACGUCUCUUUGGAGUUACAAAGGAAUGAGGUAGGCGAAGAGGUCUGGAAAGGCCCGCAAGACAAGGUGAAAGCCCUGUAGCUUAAAUCUCAUUCUCUCCGAGACGGAUCCCGAGUAGUGCGGGGCACGUGAAACCCCGUAUGAAUCUGCCAGGACCAUCUGGUAAGGCUAAAUACUCCCUAGCGACCGAUAGUGAAGCAGUACCGUGAGGGAAAGGUGAAAAGGACCCCGGAAGGGGAGUGAAAUAGAACCUGAAACCGUGUGCUUACAAAAAGUCAGAGCCCUAUGAAUGGGUGAUGGCGUGCCUUUUGUAGAAUGAACCGGCGAGUUACGUUCCCGUGCAAGGUUAAGGUGAAAAGCCGGAGCCGCAGCGAAAGCGAGUCUGAAUAGGGCGACUGAGUACGUGGACGUAGACCCGAAACCAGGUGAUCUACCCCUGUCCAGGGUGAAGGUACGGUAACACGUACUGGAGGCCCGAACCCACGCACGUUGAAAAGUGCGGGGAUGAGGUGGGGGUAGCGGAGAAAUUCCAAUCGAACCUGGAGAUAGCUGGUUCUCCCCGAAAUAGCUUUAGGGCUAGCCUCGGAAGUUGAGUCGUGGAGGUAGAGCACUGAUUGGAUGCGGGGCCCGCAAGGGUUACCAAGUUCAGUCAAACUCCGAAUGCCACAGACUUUAUUCCGGGAGUCAGACAGUGAGUGCUAAGAUCCAUUGUCGAAAGGGAAACAGCCCAGACCAUCAGCUAAGGUCCCCAAGUGUGUGUUAAGUGGGAAAGGAUGUGAAGUUGCACAGACAACCAGGAUGUUGGCUUAGAAGCAGCCACCAUUGAAAGAGUGCGUAAUAGCUCACUGGUCGAGUGACUUUGCGCCGAAAAUGUAACGGGGCUAAACACACCACCGAAGCUAUGGCUUGAUACUUUGUAUCAGGGGUAGGGGAGCGUUGAAUGAAGAUUGAAGGUGUACCGCAAGGAGCGCUGGACCUCAUUCAAGUGAGAAUGCCGGUAUGAGUAACGAAAAGAUCAGUGAGAAUCUGAUCCGCCGAAAACCCAAGGAUUCCUGAGGAAGGCUCGUCCUCUCAGGGUAAGUCGGGACCUAAGGCGAGGCCGAAAGGCGUAGUCGACGGACAACAGGUUGAAAUUCCUGUACCACCGAAAGCCGUUAUGAGCAAUGGGAUGACGCAGGAGGAUAGUGACGCGGACUGAUGGAUGUCCGUUCAAGCAGUGAGGCUGGUAUGUAGGCAAAUCCGCAUACCCUAAGGCCAGGCUGUGAUGAGGAGCGAAAAUUGUAGUAGCGAAGGUCAUGAUUUCACACUGCCAAGAAAAGUCUCUAGCCAGGAAGCAGGUGCCCGUACCGUAAACCGACACAGGUGGGUGAGAAGAGAAUUCUAAGGCGCGCGGAAGAACUCUCGUUAAGGAACUCGGCAAAAUGACCCCGUAACUUCGGGAGAAGGGGUGCCCCGGUAGUGUGAAUAGCACGAGGGGGCCGCAGUGAAAAGGCCCAAGCGACUGUUUAGCAAAAACACAGGUCUGUGCGAAGCCGCAAGGCGAAGUAUACGGGCUGACGCCUGCCCGGUGCUGGAAGGUUAAGGGGAGUGGUUAGCGCAAGCGAAGCUAUGAACCGAAGCCCCAGUAAACGGCGGCCGUAACUAUAACGGUCCUAAGGUAGCGAAAUUCCUUGUCAGGUAAAUUCUGACCCGCACGAAUGGCGUAACGAUUUGGGCGCUGUCUCAACGAGAGAUCCGGUGAAAUUUUAAUACCUGUGAAGAUGCAGGUUACCCGCGACAAGACGGAAAGACCCCAUGGAGCUUUACUGCAACUUGAUAUUGAACUGGGGUGCGAUUUGUACAGGAUAGGUGGGAGCCGUAGAAACCGGAGCGCAAGCUUCGGUUGAGGCGCCGUUGGGAUACCACCCUGAUCGCAUUUGAGUUCUAACCUCGUACCGUGAUCCGGUACAGGGACCGUGUCAGGUGGGCAGUUUGACUGGGGCGGUCGCCUCCUAAAGUGUAACGGAGGCGCCCUAAGGUUCCCUCAGAAUGGUUGGAAAUCAUUCGAAGAGUGUAAAGGCAUAAGGGAGCUUGACUGCGAGACAGACACGUCGAGCAGGGACGAAAGUCGGGCUUAGUGAUCCGGUGGUACCGCAUGGAAGGGCCAUCGCUCAACGGAUAAAAGCUACCCUGGGGAUAACAGGCUUAUCUCCCCCAAGAGUCCACAUCGACGGGGAGGUUUGGCACCUCGAUGUCGGCUCAUCGCAUCCUGGGGCUGAAGUAGGUCCCAAGGGUUGGGCUGUUCGCCCAUUAAAGCGGUACGCGAGCUGGGUUCAGAACGUCGUGAGACAGUUCGGUCCCUAUCUGUCGUGGGCGUAGGAAAUUUGAGAGGAGCUGUCCUUAGUACGAGAGGACCGGGAUGGACGCACCGCUGGUGUACCAGUUGUUCCGCCAGGAGCAUCGCUGGGUAGCUACGUGCGGAAGGGAUAAGCGCUGAAAGCAUCUAAGCGUGAAGCCCCCCUCAAGAUGAGAUUUCCCAGUAUGUAAGACCCCUUGUAGACGACGAGGUUGAUAGGUUGGGGGUGGAAGUGCCGCAAGGCAUGGAGCUGACCAAUACUAAUCGGUCGAGGGCUUAUCCAA
rnacentral:rRNA from 1 species